UCCACUUCCUGCGGGAUGGGGGCUGGGACUUGCCUUCACUGCUGUCAAGCGGCGUUGGGGUGGGGAGUGGGGCAAGGCUAUAAAUCAGUGACUUAGAGCUGAGUGAGUCGGUUCCCCAAGCAGCCCCGGCAUGCGUGUGAUGGUGCCUGUGGCUCGGCUGUGAGCAAAGUGAGGCCGGGUCUUCUCUCCAGGUCACCUUUAGCCCGGAGGUGCAGCCGCAGCUUUGCAUUUGGAUUUGGGGGAAGCAUGGCUAAAGACCUAGUUUCAGGAUAGGUGCAUCUAGAAGUGUAGACCAUCCAGAUUCAGUCCAGGCAGAGGGAUUCUGCCCAGGGUUGGCCCAGGAAUCCUGGGACCUAUGUCCCUAUUUUCAAUAUCCUCUCAAAGCUUCUGGAAGCAGGAGGGUAAAAGUUUUGGUCACUGAAGAAACUACUCUAGAAAAGUCUCUAGUGUGUCCCCUUCCCCAACCAGAGUUGUCCUUCUGACUCCUGGUGUGAUUACGUGGGGUUCCUGUCUGAAUUUCUUCCUUGUGGGUGAGUUCUUUGGGGGUGGGGUGAUGGGCACUCAAACUUUGACCUAGUUUCCCUUUCACCCAUCCAUCUGCCUGCUGUUGUCUGACUGUUCCUGUGUCCCAGGUACCACCCAGGAGAGGGACCACAGAUGAGGAGGUAGAUACACGUGUCCCUUUUCCUCCUGUAGCUACCCUCUGAGAAUGCCCUCCAAAGAAGCAAGCCACCAGACGCCCAGCAAUUCACAAUCGCCUGUGGCCUGAUGGAGAAAGGCAGAAGCUGUGAGAGAUAGGUGGAGACCCUUGUGUUUGAUGCUGUCAAAGAGGCCUUGCCAAGGAAGGGACCUGAAUGGAGACCUGGAGAAUAAAGGGAACCCUAGAAGUCACACAGAGGAAGAAGAGGGCUCAGUCUGUGCAGAGCACUGAUCUGGAGUAGCAAGCUAGGGGCUGCCUCAGAGAUCUCUGUCACCUCCUCUCUGCUUCAGACGGUCUAGUAGCAGUACAGAGAAGUUCUGAAUCUGUGCAAGGUGACACACUGGAUAGGACUGCAACUGUACCUUAGUGUCCUGCCCUCUGCCUUAGAUGUCUGACUCCUAUCAAUAUUUUAUUCCAAUGUAAUAAUGAUGAUAAUCAGGUGACAUAGAAAGACUGCUAGUUUCCCCUUAAUAAAGGAAUUGGUUCCAAGCUCUCUGCCUCAGAGAAGUACAGGUAUAGAUUACAUAUCUAAUUUCUAGAAGUUAGGUGUGUCCAUAGUCUAUCAAUAUAAUAUCACCAAAGGCUAUGAAAAUUAUAGACAUAUGUCUUGAAGGAGAAGAAAAUGAGGGGCACUAGUAAGAGGUGUGGCCCUGUUGGAGGAAAUGUGUCACUGUGGCUUUGAGAUCUUCAGGGUAUGACAGUCCACUGCUGUCCCCUUCAGGGAAGAUGUACAACUGUUGACUCCCCCAGCACCUUGUCUGGCUCGGUGCCAUGCUUCCCACCAUGGUGAUGGUGAUAGUGGACUGACCCUCAGAAAGUGUAAUCCAGCCCCCAUGAAAUGAUUUCCUUUCUAAGACUUGGAAUGUAGACUCAGCAGCUGGAGAUCUGGGUGCUGCCUUGAACGCUUAAGCAAGGGAACUGGAAUAUAGCACCAACCACUCGGUUUCUGGUUCUUCCCCCAUCGUAUGCUAUGCUUAGUGGCAUAGAUUGAACAAGAGACACUGUAAAAUAAUUUGCCUCACAAAAGCUUGUUGACGGUUGAAGCAACAAGCACAGGGUCACUAUUCUACCAUUUACACUUGAUUUUGGUCCUCUAAGGCUUGCCAGAAGAGAAGGAUCGUGAGUUACAACCCCUGCAGAUGCUAGAAACAGGAGAGACUCCUGACUGCUGGCAACCAGUGAAGGUCACAUACAUCUCUCUAGCUGGGUCUCUCUCUUCUCCAGCGAGCUACACAGAUUUGCUGUCUUCUCCCUGCUCCCUCCAGCUUUUCUCCCUCUGUGCUGUGGUGGGAUUGCAUUCCUUUCUGGAUCAGAGUAGAGCUUUUGCUUUUACCGUGAGCCUGCCAUCACCUCAUUCCUGGAUGUGGUCACUGAAAGGCUCACUUGAGGAGCAGCGUUUCAAGGGGAAAGCAAAUAUCCCAAUACGUUAUAUAAUUAGCCCCAACUCUGGACCCCUGCAGUUGGUUCCAAAGACCUGAUAAGUUGGUUCUGAUAAUGCCUGCAGGUCAGCCUAUCACUGAGUGUGUACACAUUUAAUACCUGUCUGUCGAUUGGAACCUGUAUCAGUCAGGACAGGCUAGAUUAUGGCAUGGAACAGAAAAGUCCCAUUCUCAGUGGCUUCUACUAUAAAGAUUUACUGCUCAAUCAUGCUCUAUGGCCAUCCUGAAUCAAUCCCCAUGGGCCUUUCUUCAGAGACGUUUAGAAGUGUGGCUCAAAGAGCAGCCAGCACUUUAAAUGUAGUCACUAACCCAGGCAGGGGACAGGAGGAUCCCAAUGACAAAUCAGUACUCUUGUGAUUGGGAAGUCUCUGUACUCCUUCGUUCUGGCGUCCAUCCACACAGAGAGACACAUACAUGGCCCCAUUCCACCACAAACGACCUUCAGGGAAUUGUGUGAGCGCGCGCAUGCGUGCGUCUGUCUGUCUGUCGCCUAGAAGAGAGGCCGAGACAAACUACAAGAUUGAAGAGCCUGGAAGCUGGUGUCGCCAGUGCCAGCGCACACUACGCAGCAGGUCUUAAUUUACCUCAUCCAGAAAGUGAGCGUGAAGCCCUCCAGGUGAUUACAGCGAGAUGCUUGGCUGUCUGUAUGCCUCAGUUUCCCCAUCUGGAAAGCUCUCCAUAGGUGUGAGCACUUGACAAGAUAAUAUCAGAGGCAUUUAGUAUGCAAAUGUGGCCACCCAUAUUCCUGCAUUUGACUGAGGACCAAGAAGGACCAGAGGCACCAAGAAGCAACAAGUAUCAAGUCGCUCGGAAAGCAGCCUUUUCCCCUGUGAUGGUUUGAAUAUGCUUGGCCCGGGGAGUGGCACUAUUAGGACCUGUGGUCUUGUUGGAGUGGGUGUGACCUUGUUGGAGGAAGUGUGUCCCUGUGUGGGUGGGCAAUGAGAUGUUCCUCCUAACAGUGUGGGAACAGUCUUCUGCUGUUUGCCUGUGGAACAAGAUAUUGAACUCUCAGCUUCUCCUGCACCAAACCUGCCCGGAAGCUGCCAUGUUCCUGCUUCGAUGAUAAUGGACUGAACCUGAACCUGUAAGCCAGCUUCAAUUGAAUGUUGUCCUUAUAAGAGUUGCCUUGGUCAUGGUGUCUGUUCACCACAAUAAAACCCUAACUAAAACAGUC